rnacentral:rRNA from 1 species
CCUACGGGAGGCAGCAGUGGGGGAUAUUGCACAAUGGGGGAAACCCUGAUGCAGCGACGCCGCGUGAGUGAAGAAGUAUUUCGGUAUGUAAAGCUCUAUCAGCAGGGAAGAAAAUGACAGUACCUGACCAAGAAGCCCCGGCUAACUACGUGCCAGCAGCCGCGGUAAUACGUAGGGGGCAAGCGUUAUCCGGAUUUACUGGGUGUAAAGGGAGCGUAGACGGUUAUGUAAGUCUGGAGUGAAAGCCCGGGGCCCAACCCCGGGACUGCUUUGGAAACUGUGUAGCUGGAGUGCAGGAGAGGUAAGCGGAAUUCCUAGUGUAGCGGUGAAAUGCGUAGAUAUUAGGAGGAACACCAGUGGCGAAGGCGGCUUACUGGACUGUAACUGACGUUGAGGCUCGAAAGCGUGGGGAGCAAACAGGAUUAGAUACCCGAGUAGUC